rnacentral:rRNA from 1 species
CCUGGCUCAGGAUGAACGCUAGCGACAGGCUAACACAUGCAAGUCGAGGGCAGCAUAAAAGUAGCAAUACGUUGGUGGCGACCGGCGCACGGGUGAGUAACGCGUAUGCAACCUACCUAUCAGAGGGGAAUAACCCGGCGAAAGUCGGACUAAUACCGCAUAAAACAGGGGCACCGCAUGGUGAUAUUUGUUAAAGAAAUUCGCUGAUAGAUGGGCAUGCGUUCCAUUAGGUAGUUGGUGAGGUAACGGCUCACCAAGCCGACGAUGGAUAGGGGAACUGAGAGGUUGGUCCCCCACACUGGUACUGAGACACGGACCAGACUCCUACGGGAGGCAGCAGUGAGGAAUAUUGGUCAAUGGGCGGGAGCCUGAACCAGCCAAGUCGCGUGAAGGGAAAAGAAGGAUCUAUGGUUCGUAAACUUCUUUUGCAGGGGAAUAAAGUGCAGGACGUGUCCUGUUUUGUAUGUACCCUGAGAAUAAGGAUCGGCUAACUCCGUGCCAGCAGCAGC